rnacentral:rRNA from 1 species
GCCUACGGGGGGCAGCAGUAGGGAAUCUUCCACAAUGGGCGAAAGCCUGAUGGAGCAACGCCGCGUGGGUGAAGAAGGUCUUCGGAUCGUAAAACCCUGUUGUUAGAGAAGAAAGUGCGUGAGAGUAACUGUUCACGUUUCGACGGUAUCUAACCAGAAAGCCACGGCUAACUACGUGCCAGCAGCCGCGGUAAUACGUAGGUGGCAAGCGUUAUCCGGAUUUAUUGGACGUAAAGGGAACGCAGGCGGUCUUUUAAGUCUGAUGUGAAAGCCUUCGGCUUAACCGGAGUAGUGCAUUGGAAACU